rnacentral:misc_RNA from 1 species
GAUGAAGAACGCAGCGAAAUGCGAUACUUGGUGUGAAUUGCAGAAUCCCGUGAACCAUCGAGUCUUUGAACGCAAGUUGCGCCCGAAGCCAUUAGGCCGAGGGCACGCCUGCCUGGGCGUCACACGUCGUUGCCCCCCCAUCUACUCCUUCGGGAUUGCGGGGGGCGGAUGAUGGCCUCCCGUGCGCCUAGUCGCGCGGUUGGCAUCAAAGCCAAGUCCUCGGCGACGCACGCCACGACAAUCGGUGGUUGCGAAACCUCGGUUGCCCGUCGUGUGCGGUCGUCGCGCAUCGAGGGCUCGAAAAAAUUGCCGGGCUCCGGCUCGGCUUUCAACGCGACCCCAGGUCAGGCGGGGUUACCCGCUGAAUUUAAGCAUAUCAAUAAGCGGAGGA